CCUCGAAACUGAAGCGGUUCAUCAUUUUAAAUUUUCUGGGUAGAUAUAUCAUCUUCAUUUACCCUAUAUCCCUCGCCCCUCCCUGGUCGCUCCCCAUCCUUUCCCUCUCCUCUCCACCGCCACAGGGCCGGCCAUCCCUCGCUUCCCCGGACGGACGCGCCCAAGUCCAGCCACCCGCCGACGCCGCUACCGCUCCUCUCUGACUUCAAUAUGGAGUCUGCAGCUCAAGAUUCUCAAUCCCGUACAUUUUCGAUCAAACUAUGGCCACCUAGUGAAAGUACAAGAUUGAUGCUUGUGGAGCGGAUGACUAAGAACCUUUCCACGGAAUCUAUAUUUUCCAGAUGUUAUGGACUUUUGGGCAAAGAAGAGGCCAGCGAGCAUGCUAAACGGAUAGAGGAUGCAUGUUUUGCUGCUACUAAUGAACAUUUUGAUAAAGAGCCUGAUGGGGAUGGAAGUUCUGCAGUUCACCUAUAUGCCAGUAAAACUAGUAAGCUCAUGCUGGAAGUUCUCAAAAAAGGCCCAAGACCAAAAGAGGAUGGAGAAGUGGCUGUGGUUAGUACGUCUCCUACAAUUGGCAAAACUGUUUUUCAUAUCUCUGAUGGUCGUCAGGCUUUUAUUGAUGCUGAGGAAGCCAGGGAACUUCUAAGUCCUCUGACAGAGCAAGGGAAUUUGUAUACAAAGACUUGCUUCAGCAAUAGAAGCUUUGGCAUUGAUGCAGCUCAUGUUGCAGAGCCUAUCCUCACAUCCCUCAAAGAGCAGCUGAAAGAAGUAGACCUUUCAGAUAUAGUUGCAGGAAGGCCAGAGGAUGAAGCUCUUGAGGUUAUGAGGAUAUUCUCAUCAGCCUUGGAAGGUUGUGUGCUAAGAUAUCUGAACCUUUCUGACAAUGCCUUGGGUGAGAAGGGUGUCAGGGCAUUUGGGGCACUUCUAAAAUCCCAGAACAGCUUGGAGGAGCUUUACUUAAUGAAUGAUGGGAUAUCUGAGGAAGCUGCAAAGGCCCUGAGUGAGCUUGUUCCAUCAACUGAAAAUGCUAAGAUCCUGCAUUUCCAUAACAAUAUGUCUGGAGAUGAAGGUGCAGCUGCAAUCUCUCAAAUCCUGAAACAAUCUCCUGCAUUAGAGGACUUCAGAUGCUCAUCAACAAGGGUGGGCUCUGAGGGAGGUAUUGCAUUGUCUGAGGCCUUAGAGACUUGUACUCAUUUGAAGAAACUUGACCUCCGAGACAACCUAUUUGGUGUGGAUGCUGGGAUGGCCCUGAGUAAGACUCUCGGAAAGCUUGUUGGCCUUACUGAAGUUUACUUGAGCUAUCUCAAUUUGGAAGAUGAAGGGGCCAUAGCAAUUGCCAAUGCCCUGAAACAGUCUGUUCAUUCCCUUGAUGUCUUGGAGAUUGCUGGAAAUGAGAUCACAGCCGAAGCUGCCCCAGCAUUGGCAGAAUGUGUGGGUUCGAAGCAGUUCCUCAGGAAGCUGAACUUGUCUGAGAAUGAACUGAAGGACGAGGGUGCAGUUCUGAUUGGCAAAGCAUUGGAAGGUCAUUCACAGCUCAAAGAACUUGAUCUAAGCACUAAUAUGAUAAGGAGGGUCGGGGCAAGGUGCUUGGCUCAGGUAGUGUCAAAUAAAACUGACUUUGUGCUUCUGAACAUUAACGGUAAUGCCAUCUCUGAGGAAGGUAUUGAUGAAGUGAAGGAGAUUCUGAAGGCAGGUAAGAACUCUGUGGGUGUGCUUGGACCAUUGGACGAGAAUGAUCCUGAGGGGGAAGGUGAAGAAGAGGUAGAGGAGGCAGGAGAGCAGGGUGUUUCAGGAGAUGGAGGGGAAUUGGAGUCAAAGCUUCAGCAACUCAAGGUAGAUCAGGAGUAAAGAUUGUCAGUCACUUGAUUCAUUGGGAUACAAGCUUCAGUUGUGCGACUAGUUUAUGCUCUAUCCAUCGACUACUUUGUCUUCAGGAAUAUAUUACAAAUGGCAGUAACACAUUUUCUGGCAUGUUGACUAUCAUUGUUCUUGCUGUGGAAGGCCAGCUUUUACUGGAGAUCGAUAACCCUCUGUAUUAGGUCCUUCAUGGGUAGCUUCGGCUUGACCUUUAAGAUGCCUUGCUAUGCUUCUCUCAUUGUUAGUAGAAUAGAUUUUGGUUUCGGUUGUCGUUUGGGCUCUGUACUGUGUUCCCUUUUGUUAUCCUGUUGGUGAUUGGUGCUGUUUUUACUUGGUUUUUGAGGGUAACAACAGCUCAUUCGGAUAAAGUUUGGUUAAUCUUGCAACAGCAGCUGUUAUCUUAGUCAUCUGAUGGUGCCAAUUAUCGUUGGCUUUGGCUUUCAUGUUGUUUGAGGUAAUUAAUGCUUCUGAAUUAUGUAGCCUGUUAUUUUAAUCAUUGGACUACCUAAUGUGGCUAGGGUCAACUUUAUAAUGUUCGACCUGAUGAUAUCGAAGAGCCAAUCAAAUGUUGGAUUGCAGUUGGUUGUGUGGAAUGUAAAUGCUACAUGCUUGUGCAUCCUGUUAGGAUUUGUUUAUUUGCUUGCAAUUUGACAGGUUGCAGUUGCUGAUGCUGCCGGU